rnacentral:rRNA from 1 species
AGAGUUUGAUCAUGGCUCAGGACGAACGCUGGCGGCGUGCUUAACACAUGCAAGUCGAGCGGGGCAUCACCCUUCGGGGUGAUGUCUAGCGGCGAACGGGUGAGUAACACGUGGGCAACCUGCCCCCAUCUCUGGGAUAACUCCGGGAAACCGGGGCUAAUACCGGAUACGAGACCGAGCGGCAUCACUUGGUCUGGAAAGAUUUAUCGGGUGGGGAUGGGCCCGCGGCCUAUCAGCUAGUUGGUGGGGUAACGGCCCACCAAGGCGUCGACGGGUAGCUGGUCUGAGAGGAUGAUCAGCCACACUGGGACUGAGACACGGCCCAGACUCCUACGGGAGGCAGCAGUGGGGAAUCUUGCGCAAUGGGCGAAAGCCUGACGCAGCAACGCCGCGUGCGGGACGACGGCCCUCGGGUUGUAAACCGCUUUCAGCAGGAACGAUGAUGACGGUACCUGCAGAAGAAGCUCCGGCCAACUACGUGCCAGCAGCCGCGGUAAUACGUAGGGAGCAAGCGUUGUCCGGAUUUAUUGGGCGUAAAGAGCUCGUAGGCGGUUCGGUAAGUCGGGUGUGAAAACUCUGGGCUCAACCCGGAGAGGCCACUCGAUACUGCUGUGACUUGAGUCUGGUAGGGGAGCACGGAAUUCCUGGUGUAGCGGUGAAAUGCACAGAUAUCAGGAGGAACACCGGUGGCGAAGGCGGUGCUCUGGGCCAGUACUGACGCUGAGGAGCGAAAGCGUGGGGAGCGAACAGGAUUAGAUACCCCGGUAGUCC